UGGUGGGCUAACCGGGGAAUCAGUCCCUCCUUGUAAGCGCAAAUGGACUUUAGGCGCGGGUAAAAGCUCUGCCUAGGGUUAAUGACCCCAUACAAGAUGGUAAAGCUAUCUGAGAAGUGCGGUCCUAUAGGGGGCAUUUGCUCAAAAACCCAGCCAGGCCCGGAAGGGAGCAACUGUAAUUGAGUGGGUGCAAGCUUAUAGAUAAAUCGCAUGGAGAAAAUGUUGCCACCCUCUAUAUAGGUAGUUAAUUCAAAGCGGGGCAGCCUGCCA
rnacentral:SRP_RNA from 1 species